AUUGAACGCUGGCGGCAGGCUUAACACAUGCAAGUCGAGCGAGCGGCGGACGGGUGAGUAAUGUCUGGGAAACUGCCUGAUGGAGGGGGAUAACUACUGGAAACGGUAGCUAAUACCGCAUAAUAUCGGAUGAACCCAUAUGGGAUUAGCUAGUAGGUGGGGUAAAGGCUCACCUAGGCGACGAUCUCUGGCUGGUCUGCGAGGAUGAUCAGCCUCACUGGGACGUAGACACGGCCCAGACUCCUACGUGAGGCAGCAGUGGGGAAUAUUGCACAAUGGGCGCAAGCCUGAUGCAGCCAUGCCGCGUGUAUUAAGAAGGCCUUAGGGUUGUCAAGUACUUUCAGCGGGGAGGCGUUACCCGCAGAAGAAGCACCGGCUAACUCCGUGCCAGCAGCCGCGGUAAUAC
rnacentral:rRNA from 1 species